ensembl:lncRNA
GUGCGCGCGGCAUAGCCCAUUGAGCGAGAGGAGGACACGCUGACACUGUACAUUAGCAUACCUCCAACGUUAAUGGUAUUUGGAGGAAAAAAUAUUUUUAUCCUGAACGGGAACUUUUGGAAUGUCUGUGCAACUAAAAACAUGUUGAAGGAAACGGAUCCAUCCAUUUGCAGCAAUCUGAGAUCCCUGAGGCAUUUCUCCCCAUUCUGUCCAAGAAGUUGGAUGAAUGAACAUCCACAACACUGCCAGUAAAUCUGAAACCAAAAAUAUAUUAUGCUACGAGAGCCACACCAGGGGAUCCAAACAGAUUCACAGGAAACAGGUUGGCAAGGAUGCAGGACACACCAAACUAAAGGAGAUUAGAAAUGUGAUUACUGACUGAAAGAAAGAAGAAAACUUAAGAGAAAGAAAGACGGAAAGAGAGAGGAUUGCACGUUUUCCCCUUUCUCAGUAGGGCAUCCCCUGAAUUCCUGCUACUAUGCCUGAGAGAGGGAGGGCUGAAGACAUGUCGAAAUGAACCCCUAUGACAACUCACACUUCAGGAGGGAUCUCUUUCCUCACUUCCACUUAUUGUAGGGGCUUUUCUACCGCCCCUCUGUUUGUGUGUGACAUGGGUACACCCAUGUCUGUGAUAACCUAGGACAUCAGGUAAAGACUGCGGGCCUGGUAUUCUCCUGUGUUGUGCCUUGGUUGCUUGUAAUCAGAUUGCUACAACUUAAACUCUCUCCAGAAAAGUGGUCAUGGUUUUACACUGUAAACUCUCCUCAGGAAACUGGUCAUGGUGUUACACUGUAAACUGUCCUCAGGAAACUGGUCUUGGUGUUGCACUGUAAACUGUUCUCCAGAAACCUCGUAACAUGUUUAGCAUUCUCAUGAGAGGUUAAAGACUUUGCCAGCAUUUGAAAACACAGUUUCCUUGAAAUGUGUACCGAAGGUAAUAUCUAAUAUCACAAUCAAACCUUUUCAUGACAUUUAGAUUUCCCCCGAUUCAAACCUUUUGAGAUAUUUUUGCAUGCAUAAAGACAAGUCUCUUUCAAUUGGCCUUGUCAUUGUUUUUACCCACUUUUCCUUGCACAUCUUUUGUUUGCUAUUUCCAGACUAAAAGCCUUUCAGAAUUGGAUAAACGUGUGUUCUCUGUCAAGCAGGGGUGCUGAGUGUGACACUUUAACCAAGACGAGCCAACCCAUAUUUGGAUAAAACAAGGACACAGCACCUCACAUCAUAGGAUUUUGCCUCUGAAAUAACAUUUGAUCUCUAUGUUUUUGUGGACGUCGUCCACAGGUGUUUGCCCCGUGUGUUUGUUACUCCUCGCCUUUUUCACCAGAGUAGGUAAUAUGUAUUCUGCUCCUACACAUUCCCAGUACUGUUUCUGUCGAAGUGUUACAUAAAAUCAAUCCUUGCAUUAUUUUGUAUUGGGUACCUUGAAAUCCGUACACAAAAAAAGUACAAAAAAACACAAACCUUGGCG